AUGUCGUCGGUUAUUGAGUCUGCAUUUUGUCAACACGUUUCUUCAGAAUUACAAAUGGAACUGGCUUGUACACAGGCUGGCGUAAGCUUAUCGGAAGAGUGCAGGGUAACAGGUGCAAACAAAACUUCUCAAUUUCUCAGUAGUAUUUCUCAACCCUUGCACUACAAAGAGCUAUAUGACAAAUCUGUGUUCUUGCAAGAUGAUAGCAGAACGGUUACAAGUUCAAAACAGGUUGCACAUACACGACAGGAGUUAACACUUUCAAUGACAGUUUUUCCCUUUCUUUUGCAUUAUGUUUACCAGCUCCCAAGAUGGUGGAAACAACACGGUUUUAACACCCUGGUGAUGUGUGAGGUGAGCAAGGAGGUGUCUUCUGCCAGCUGCAGCAAUCGGAUCUCUCAGAGCCUGACACCGGCUGCUAUGGGAGUAUACUCUUUGACUCAAGUGGGGCUUGACAACCAAACUCCCCAGGCUCUAAAAUUUCCGUGCGAUUUUUAUCGAGCAGUUUCCCAUCCGCAACAAAGGUUCGUACUCCCCGUACUGGCAGGGACGACUCCUCUGGGGACGCUCAGUAACCCGCGCAGCAAUGGGUUAGCUGGAUAUAAACCAUCGCAAGGCCUAAAGGCUACCAAGGCUUGCACGGGAAGCCCAUACGUUAGCUCGCUGUCGAUCCGCCACUUAGCCCUAACGCCAGGCGAUACGGCUGGGCACGAUGCGGAUUUAACAAGCUGGGGAGAGACGGUGGCGGGAAGAUCCGGGGCAGGUGGGACGGGACACCGCACCCCGCGCGAAGCAAUUCCGCUGGCGGAGCCCCCCUGCCCGCCCCGAGCGCCUCGCCCCGGCCCGCCAAGGCGAAGGGCUGCGGGGAGGCCUCACGGGCAGGGCAGAUGUCACAGGCCUAGGCCGUGGGGCUGCGCUUCCCGACGCCAGUCGCCUGCACCGGGGCCUCCUGCCGCCCCUGCACACCCCUGCCCGCCCCGGCCGGCGCCUCGCGGCCUUGCCGCCCCCAACGGCCCCGGGCCCUCCGCGCCCGGUCCUGGCGUCCCAGGCGCCGCUGGGACCCCGCGGCCGGGGCCGGGGCCGGGGCCGGGGCCGGGGCCGAGGCGACCCGACGGCGGGGCCGGGCGGGCCCCGCCCCCCGUUGCCAGGCAACCGCCUCCUCGCCUCGCCGGGGACCGGCAGCCGUCCUACUCUCACCCGCGGUCGGCAGCGCGCUCCCAUUGGCUGCCCCGGCGCUGCGCUCGGCUCCCAUUGAGCGCCCGCCGCCUCUGCCGCGUCCUCAUUGGCGCGCCGCCCUCUGGCCACGCCGCGUCACUUUCUCACACCAUUCCCCCCGCCUUCUCCGCCAGCCGCGGGCCGGCCGGCGGGCGGGGCCCGGCCCCCGGCAGCUCUGAUUGGCGGGGAGAGCCGCCGCUCAGGGCGCGGGCCGGAGCCCCGGCGGCGGGGCUGUUUAAAGGCGCCGCGCGCCGGCGACCCGCGUUUCGCCCCCCCGCCCUGUGCGUGCGAACCGGCGAGGGCGCGGAGUCAGCGACCGGCACCGGGAGCCAUCGCCUCCGGCAGGUGAGGGCGGCUCGGCGCCGGGGGGGCGGCCCCUGCCUCUCCUCCCCGCAAGCCGCCGGCGGGGCUUGGGGAUGGGCCGGCGGGGCCGGGAGCGGUGUUUGCAGCGGACGCACGGGCGUUGGAAGUAGCGCCUGCAGUGCGGCAAGGGGCGGGGGGCGGAGAAGGUAA
ensembl:lncRNA